AUGCUCAGGUGUUUUAAGUAUCUGGAUGCCAUACAUUCACAAAGCCAGAUGAUGCUGCCUGACAGCUGGCCUCACCUUCUCUCCUGCUGCUCUUGUCACUCAACUCCACCUUCAUGGUGCUCAGUGUUCCUCUCCUGUCAACUGCUGCCUCCCCAGCAGAAUGAGGACUACUCUUUAUUACUCGAGUUGGCCACCUAUCCUUAUGGGUCUGUCCUUGUCCUUCCUGAAAGAACAGCUUCUUUUUCCUAUUUUUUAUUUUUUUCUAUUCUCUCCAAAGAUUUACUGAGGCAUAAUUGGCUUAUAAUUAUCACAUAUUUAGUGUGUUCUCAGUCUCUCCUUAGCCAUCAUUCUGGAAAUUUCCUUGUGUCCCUUUGUAAACCCUCCCUUUCACCCCUCUGCAAACUCCAUUAUUAAAUCACCACUGAUCUACCACAGAAGUUUUUCUUAUUCUAAUAGUUUAGUAUUGAUCUUUUUUUUUUUUUUUUAAAAAGUCUAUUUAUUCAUUUGAAAGGCAGAUUCACAGAGAGAAAGAACAGAGAGAGAGAGAAAGAGAAAGUCCUUCAUCCACCGGUUUACUCCCCAAAUGAUGACCGUACUGGCCAGAACUAGGCCUAUCCAAAAUCAGGAGCCAGGAGCCCCUCUCCCCUCCCCAGGUCCUCCCACAUGGGUACAGGGGCCCAAGGCCCUGGGCUAUCCUCUACUGCUUUCUCAGGCCACAGCAGAGAGCCGGAUCAGAGGUGGAGCAGCCGGCACUCGAACUGGCAUCCACAUGGGAUACCGGUGCUGUAGACAGGGUAUCUAACCAGCUACACCACAGUGCCAGCUCUCGUAUUAAUUUUUUAUAAGUAAAUUUGAGUGUCCAACUUAAUUUACCCAUAUUUACUAUGAAGGUAGACUGACUUCACACAGUGAACGUAACAGCGUCAAUACAAGUACAACUCAACCAAACUUAAAACUUAAAAAGGAAAAAGCAAAAGCAAAAUAAAAUAAAUACACUUUUCCA
rnacentral:lncRNA from 1 species